CCACUCUGCAGCCUCUAUUCUGUGUUCUCGGGCUUGGAACUGGGCCAAAAGGAGCCCAGAAAUCGCCCCCAGCGCUUUCUGCAAUUUCUGCAUGUGACGCAUAUCACGCGUACGCGUAGGUCACACGUACGCGUCGCUGCCAGCUUCUCAAAACACCAUUUUCUUGCGUUCUUUCAACUUUUGCAUGCUUCCUUUCCAUCCUCUAAGCCAUUCCUACCCUAUAAAGUCUGAAAAUACUUAACACACAGAUCACGGCAUCGAAUGGUAAUAAAAAUUGACAGUUUAAAGGCCCAGGAGACAUGUUUUCAACUAUAUCACAGAAUUAGGAAGGAAAAUGUAAAACACGCAAUUUAUAUGCAUAAGUGCGAGAAUAAUGGAUAAAAUCUACUAAAUUAAGCACAAGAUAAACUCUAAAAAUGGGGUUUAUCAAUCUCCCCACACUUACACAUUAGCAUGUCCUCAUACUAAGCUCAAGAGAACCAAAAGAGUGAAGGCAAAAGGGUAGAACUUAUGCAAUGCAACCUAUCUAGAUGCAAGCUACCUACAUGCAUCAUGCUAUUCUAAGUACUGUAUAUAUAUGUGUGUGUGUGUAAAGUGAGUUAAAUUUUCAAGAAAUCAUAUAUGCACAAUCAAGGACUAAAUCAAUCAUAUCAAAGCGCAUUCACAAUUGAGUUGAGUUAAUCAAAAGAGUUCACAAACUUGCAAGACAAGCAAUGAUCAAAUAUGGACAUAUGGAAAUGAGCAAUUGAACCCUCACUGGAUUUGUAUAUGCACUCUAAUCACUCAAGUGUUUGGGGUUAAACCACUCAAAUCUCCUCUAGUCAUACUUUCUAGAACUUUGUUCUUCAUCUAACCAAUCAACAAUUAUCAAGUGUACAAAUGCAAAUAUCAUGAGAGAUUUUCAAGGUUGUAAU
rnacentral:lncRNA from 1 species